rnacentral:rRNA from 1 species
UACCAGCACCCCGAGUGGUCGGGACGUUUAUUGGGCCUAAAGCAUCCGUAGCCGGUUCUACAAGUCUUCCGUUAAAUCCACCUGCUCAACAGAUGGGCUGCGGAAGAUACUAUGGAGCUAGGAGGCGGGAGAGGCAAGCGGUACUCGAUGGGUAGGGGUAAAAUCCGUUGAUCCAUUGAAGACCACCAGUGGCGAAGGCGGCUCGCCAGAACGCGCUCGACGGUGAGGGAUGAAAGCUGGGGGAGCAAACCGG